rnacentral:lncRNA from 1 species
AGGCCCGAAAUAACGGAGAGGCUGUAGAAAAGGUUGAAGAUUCACCCUUUAAUGUAUUUGUAUAGAUUGAUAGAAAUAGCUUCCAUAGACUACCAUAUAAUUUCUUCACAAUACAUCAUUUUUUUUCUGCUAUUAACUAUUUACUCGACUCCAUUCGAUCUGAUCCCAAAAGCACUUUGGGGGUUCCAAAACCCAUCCCGAGUUCGAAAGCUAUAAAAUCUAAGGAUGUAAAUAGAUACAGAUACACGAAUUUUAUCCGAAUCCAACCCGAACAAAGCAGAUUUUAUCCGAUGUAAAUAGAUAUAGAUUCGGGUAUGGAUAUAAAAGAAAAAAAAAAUCCAACGGAUUCAGGUAUCGGUAUGGAUAUUUUAAAAAAAUCCAAACCCGAACCUGACAUGAACCCAAACAAAUUUAAUAUGAUAUAAUAUAUAAAAAAAAAUUCAAACCAUUAGAUCUGAAUCUAAAGACAAAAAAAUACUUAUAUUUUUAUAAUCUAAAUCAAAAUAUAACCCACAUCCUAAUAUUCAAAUAUCAAAACCUUUUCAUUUCACAAGCCCUCUCCAAACCCUAAUAGUUAAAACCUCAAAAGAGAACUAUUUCAAAACCUUCUCAUUUUCCAAACCCUCUCCAUUUCCAAACCCUAUAUAACACCCGAAUAGUCCCAUAUCGGAUGUAAAACUGAUUCCGAUUAGAAUAUAUGAGGCCUACACACUAGUAAUAAUAAUUGGGCUUAAACAUUUUGGGCCGGUGGUUUGGGCCCAACUAUUUAUUAUUGUUAGUGGGUCAGGUCGUUACAACUGGUAUCAGAGCCAAAUACUAGCCGGAAGUGCGAGAUCUAAGUGCUAUGCGAGAUAAAGUGCUGCACUAACAGAUUUGGUGGGAGCCACCUCUUAAACCCAUAGGAGCUGCAUCUAGAAUCUCACAUCGCCUGAUAAUUCUGGUCCUGGUCUGUCUGUCUGUCAUCUGGUUUGGACACGACCAGCCAAAGUGCUAUGCGAG